rnacentral:rRNA from 1 species
UACGAAGGGUGCAAGCGUUACUCGGAAUUACUGGGCGUAAAGCGUGCGUAGGUGGUUUGUUAAGUCUGUUGUGAAAGCCCCGGGCUCAACCUGGGAAUGGCAAUGGAUACUGGCAAGCUAGAGUGCGGUAGAGGGUAGUGGAAUUCCCGGUGUAGCGGUGAAAUGCGUAGAGAUCGGGAGGAACACCAGUGGCGAAGGCGGCUACCUGGACCAGCACUGACACUGAGGCACGAAAGCGUGGGGAUCAAACAGG